UCCGCUGGAUUUAAGCAUACUAGUCAGCGGAGGAAAAGAAACUAACCAGGAAUCCCUCAGUAAGGGCAAGUGAACAGGGA
rnacentral:ncRNA from 1 species